ACCAAAGAAACAAUCAUCACCUUAACUUUUUAAGGAAUCCCAAGCUUUUUGAUAAAUAAAUAAAAAAAAAAGAAAUCUCAGGCUUUGCAAUUGUCGUAACAUAUCACUUUCCAAAAAAAAAUAAAGAACAAAAUUGCAAGGGGAUCUAGGAUUCUUAGUUCUAUCCUCUAUCAGUCUAUCUGAUAACCGGAUUUUUGUUUGUUUGCCACAGAAUCAAGUUACGAACACAGACUUUCAGGAAACUUAAGAUCCUCUUCCGAUGCUUGUAAUAGUUCAGCUUUGUGUGUGUUGUGAACUCAGGCAGUGUACCUUCUGGGACUCUGAUCAUUGUACAUCUUCGCAUAACAUAAUCGGCAAGAACAUAUAUUUUAAAUUUCAGAAAUCCAGAUUUUGGUUGAUGAAAAUGAUAAUUAAAAUUGUAUUCUAUUUCUGUUGGUUUUCUUUGCAAACAGAUGUUGUAUGUGAGAUAAUAUAAACACCAAAAUAGUUCAAUCAA